GAUGAACGCUAGCUACAGGCUUAGCACAUGCAAGUCGAGGGGUAACGAGAGGAAAGCUUGCUUUCCUUGUCGACGACCAGCGCACGGGUGAGUAACGCGUAUCCAACCUGCCCCCAACUAAGGAAUAACCUUGCGAAAGUAAGACUAAUACCUUAUAAUUUCCUCAGAUGUCAUCUGACGAGGAAUAAAGAUUUAUCGGUUGUGGAUGGGGAUGCGUCUGAUUAGCUUGUUGGCGGGGUAACGGCCCACCAAGGCAACGAUCAGUAGGGGUUCUGAGAGGAAGGUCCCCCACAUUGGAACUGAGACACGGUCCAAACUCCUACGGGAGGCAGCAGUGAGGAAUAUUGGUCAAUGGGCGAAAGCUUGAACCAGCCAAGUAGCGUGCAGGAUGACGGCCCUAUGGGUUGUAAACUGCUUUUAUACAGGAAUAAAGUUAGCCACGUGUGGUUAUUUGUAGGUACUGUAUGAAUAAGGACCGGCUAAUUCCGUGCCAGCAGCCGCCGUAA
rnacentral:rRNA from 1 species